AAAGUCGUAACAAGGUUUCCGUAGGUGAACCUGCGGAAGGAUCAUUCUUGAUUAUGUAGCGUAUGCUUCAUUAUAUUAUGUGAACUGUUAACGGUCAUUUGGCGGUCGCAAGACUGUCGUUUGGCCACCUAUUUUUAAUUUACCCUUAUUAACAUUUUAUACCAGUAAAAAAUCUUGACAACUUUUAGCAAUGGAUCUCUUGGCUCUC
rnacentral:misc_RNA from 1 species